GACAGAGGGUGCAAACGUUGUUCGGAAUUACUGGGCGUAAAGCGCGUGUAGGCGGCCAUCUAAGUCGGGCGUGAAAUCCCACGGCUCAAACCGUGGAAGUGCACUCGAAACUGGAUGGCUAGAGUCCUGGAGAGGAAGGUGGAAUGCUUGGUGUAGAGGUGAAAUUCGUAGAUAUCAAGCGGAACACCGGUGGCGAAGGCGGC
rnacentral:rRNA from 1 species